rnacentral:ncRNA from 12 species
AGAAUUAGAGGACGGAACGGGCAGCCGUCGCUAUACUUCCAAAAGAAGUAGUUGGAGAUGUGGGAAUGUCACCCCACCUAAUUCU